rnacentral:rRNA from 1 species
UACGGAGGGUGCAAGCGUUAUCCGGAUUCACUGGGUUUAAAGGGUGCGUAGGCGGGUAUGUAAGUCAGGGGUGAAAUCUUGGAGCUUAACUCCGAAACUGCCAUUGAUACUAUGUAUCUUGAAUAUCGUUGAGGUUUGCGGAAUAUGUCAUGUAGCGGUGAAAUGCUUAGAUAUGACAUAGAACACCAAUUGCGAAGGCAGCAGGCUAAACGAACAUUGACGCUGAGGCACGAAAGCGUGGGGAUCAAACAGG